UAAUCUCACUACGAUUGACUUUGUCGUCUUUCUGUAUGUGGACUUGGAUGUUGUCGUGGAUAUCCACGACUCGUCUGAAAUGCCUGAGUGUAUCCCGCUUUGCGGCGUAUUCGGUGUGAUACAUCUUCACCGGAGUUGAUCCCUUUGGGUCGCGUCUAUAUGAGUGUGGCUCUAUGCUUCCAACCGUCUUCCAGGAGACAAUUUCUGACA
rnacentral:misc_RNA from 1 species